AGCAUGACCAACUGAAGUGCAAAACUAGGCCCUUAGAUGAGAUAAUAAGCUUCUGCAUGAACUGCUACGAUUGUUAGAAAAUUGCACACGGGAAAAGGGUGAAAUGCAUGUAGGCUUGGGAAGCAUCGGGAGUGGAUCCGACACGCAACAACGGAUGGAUGGUGCCGGGAGUGUAGGAGUGACUGCUGCUUAAGGCGUUUUGGGGAGAUGUCACUUGAUUGGCCAGCGUUGCAGGUGCACUAUGUGCACCAGUUCGGUAUCUGCGAUUGGGGAAAUGCGAAAGAACGGUACAAGCUGAUCGGCUGGAGUAGAAGAUGCAGCUGAACGUAGAGAGGAAUGGAAGAAGAUGUCAAGACUGCUGGAGAUCGAGCUGAAGAUGUGAUCAGGGUUAAAUGUUUCGGUUUGCUGAUUUGUAUUGGGGGUGGUCGAAAUAUUAUGAAUUUUUGAAUAAAAUUUGACCAAAUUUGAACAAAA